rnacentral:rRNA from 1 species
GAUGAACGCUGGCGGCGUGCCUAAUACAUGCAAGUCGAGCGAACAGACGAGGAGCUUGCUCCUCUGACGUUAGCGGCGGACGGGUGAGUAACACGUGGAUAACCUACCUAUAAGACUGGGAUAACUUCGGGAAACCGGAGCUAAUACCGGAUAAUAUAUUGAACCGCAUGGUUCAAUGGUGAAAGACGGUUUUGCUAUCACUUAUAGAUGGAUCCGCGCCGCAUUAGCUAGUUGGUAAGGUAACGGCUUACCAAGGCAACGAUGCGUAGCCGACCUGAGAGGGUGAUCGGCCACACUGGAACUGAGACACGGUCCAGACUCCUACGGGAGGCAGCAGUAGGGAAUCUUCCGCAAUGGGCGAAAGCCUGACGGAGCAACGCCGCGUGAGUGAUGAAGGUCUUCGGAUCGUAAAACUCUGUUAUUAGGGAAGAACAAAUGUGUAAGUAACUAUGCACGUCUUGACGGUACCUAAUCAGAAAGCCACGGCUAACUACGUG